GCAAGUUAAGAAACUGUUUUUUAAUUUUUAACUAAAAAAACUAAGAACUGAUUCUUAAAUAAAGACUUUAAGAACCGGUUAUUAGUUUUUUUUAGUUAAAAGUUAAAAAAUAAUUUUUUAACUUCC
rnacentral:pre_miRNA from 1 species